rfam:Loxodonta africana unplaced genomic scaffold scaffold_60, whole genome shotgun sequence.
ACAGUAGUGGUUCAGUGGUAGAAUUUUUGCCUUCCACAUAGAAGACCUGGGUUCGAUUCCCUGCCAAUGCA